GACGAACGCUGGCGGCGUGCCUAAUACAUGCAAGUCGAACGCAGUGGGGACGGGUGAGUAACACGUGGGUAAUCUCCCAUAAAAGGGGAUAACACUUGGAAACAGCUGCUAAACUGAUACAGAUGGAUGGACACGGUGUGGAUUAGCUCGUUGGUGAGGUAACGGCUCACCAAGGCCACGAUGCAUAGCCGGCCUGAGAUGUGGACCGGCCACACGGGGACCGAUACACGGCCCAGACUCCUACGGGAGGCAGCAGUAGGGAAUAUUCCGCAAGGGACGAAAGUCUGAUCCAGAAACGCCGCGUGAGUGAAGAAGGUUUUCGGAUCGGAAAACACUGUUAUUAGAGAAGCGGUAUCUAACCAGUAAGCCACGGCUAACUACGUGCCAGCAGCCGCGGUAAUAC
rnacentral:rRNA from 1 species